rnacentral:rRNA from 1 species
GAUGAACGCUGGCGGCGUGCCUAAUACAUGCAAGUCGAGCGAACAGACGAGGAGCUUGCUCCUCUUACGUUAGCGGCGGACGGGUGAGUAACACGUGGAGAACCUACCUAUAAGACUGGGAUAACUUCGGGAAACCGGAGCUAAUACCGGAUAAUAUAUUGAACCGCAUGGUUCAAUAGUUAAAGACGGUUUUGCUUUCACUUAUAGAUGGAUCCGCUCCGCAUUAGCUAGUUGGUAAGGUAACGGCUUACCAAGGCAACGAUGCGUAGCCGACCUGAGAGGGUGACCGGCCACACUGGAACUGAGACACGGUCCAGACUCCUACGGGAGGCAGCAGUAGGGAAUCUUCCGCAAUGGGCGAAAGCCUGACGGAGCAACGCCGCGUGAGUGAUGAAGGUCUUCGGAUCGUAAAACUCUGUUAUUAGGGAAGAACAAAUGUGUAAGUAACUAUGCACGUCUUGACGGUACCUACUCAGAAAGCCACGGCUAACUACGUG